rnacentral:piRNA from 1 species
GAAAAGAGUAGGGUACCCUGAAGAA